rnacentral:rRNA from 1 species
UACGGGGGGGGGCAAGCGUUGUUCGGAAUUACUGGGCGUAAAGGGCUCGUAGGCGGCCAACUAAGUCAGACGUGAAAUCCCUCGGCUUAACCGGGGAACUGCGUCUGAUACUGGAUGGCUUGAGUUUGGGAGAGGGAUGCGGAAUUCCAGGUGUAGCGGUGAAAUGCGUAGAUAUCUGGAGGAACACCGGUGGCGAAGGCGGCAUCCUGGACCAACACUGACGCUGAGGAGCGAAAGCCAGGGGAGCAAACGGG